rnacentral:rRNA from 1 species
AUUGAACGCUGGCGGAAUGCUUUACACAUGCAAGUCGAACGGCAACACGGGGCAACCUGGUGGCGAGUGGCGAACGGGUGAGUAAUAUAUCGGAACGUGCCCAAUCGUGGGGGAUAACGUAGCGAAAGUUACGCUAAUACCGCAUACGAUCUACGGAUGAAAGCGGGGGAUCGCAAGACCUCGCGCGAAUGGAGCGGCCGAUAUCAGAUUAGGUAGUUGGUGGGGUAAAGGCUCACCAAGCCAACGAUCUGUAGCUGGUCUGAGAGGACGACCAGCCACACUGGAACUGAGACACGGUCCAGACUCCUACGGGAGGCAGCAGUGGGGAAUUUUGGACAAUGGGCGCAAGCCUGAUCCAGCCAUUCCGCGUGCAGGAUGAAGGCCUUCGGUUGUAACUAGCUUUGUACGGUAACGAAACGGUAC